rnacentral:rRNA from 1 species
CUUACUUUGGAUAACUGUGGCAAUUCUAGAGCUAAUACAUGCUUACCAAGCUCCGACCCUCGCGGAAAGAGCGCUUUUAUUAGUUCAAAACCAAUCGUCGUUGCCCCUCGCGGGGCGCGGCGUCCCUACUGGUGACUCUGGAUAACUUUGUGCUGAUCGCAUGGCCUCACGUGCCGGCGACCCAUCUUUCAAAUGUCUGCCCUAUCAAAUGUCGAUGGUACGUGACAUGCCUACCAUGUUUGUAACGGGUAACGGGGAAUCAGGGUUCGAUUCCGGAAAGGGAGCAUGAGAAACGGCUACCACAUCCAAGGAAGGCAGCAGGCGCGCAACUUACCCACUCCCGGCACGGGGAGGUAGUGACGAAAAAUAACAAUACGGGACUCUUUCGAGGCUCCGUAAUUGGAAUGAGUACACUUUAAACCCUUUUAACGAGGAUA